rnacentral:rRNA from 1 species
GACGAAGGAUGCAAGCGUUAUCCGGAUUCAUUGGGUUUAAAGGGAGCGUAGGUGGCCUUGUAAGUCAGUGGUGAAAUCCUGUCGCUUAACGAUAGAAUUGCCAUUGAUACUGCAGGGCUUGAGUACAGUUGCCGUUGGCGGAAUAUGACAUGUAGUGGUGAAAUACAUAGAUAUGUCAUAGAACACCGAUUGCGAAGGCAGCUGGCGAAACUGUAACUGACACUGAGUCUCGAAAUUGUCGGGAUCAAACAGG